ensembl:snoRNA
AACCAAAACCUAAGCAUGACAAUUGGGUUUCCAUGCCAUUGUAUGAGAUGUGCCUUCCUCAAAACUUGUUACAAUAUCAUCACAUCAACCAUCUGAUG